rnacentral:rRNA from 1 species
GAUGAACGCUGGCGGCGUGCCUAAUACAUGCAGGUCGAGCGAACAGACGAGGGGCUUGCUCCUCUGACGUUAGCGGCGGACGGGUGAGUAACACGUGGAUAACCUACCUAUAAGACUGGGAUAACUUCGGGAAACCGGAUCUAAUACCGGAUAACAUGUUGAACCGCAUGGUUCAACAGUGAAAGACGGUCUUGCUGUCGCUUAUAGAUGGAUCCGCGCCGCAUUAGCUAGUUGGUAAGGUAACGGCUUACCAAGGCAACGAUGCGUAGCCGACCUGAGAGGGUGAUCGGCCACACUGGAACUGAGACACGGUCCAGACUCCUACGGGAGGCAGCAGUAGGGAAUCUUCCGCAAUGGGCGAAAGCCUGACGGAGCAACGCCGCGUGAGUGAAGAAGGUCUUCGGAUCGUAAAACUCUGUUAUUAGGGAAGAAAAAAUGUGUAAGUAACUAUGCACGUCUUGACGGUACCUAAUCAGAAAGCCCCGGCUAACUACGUG